CACGUAGGGGCCAAGCGUUGUCCGGAUUUAUUGGGCGUAAAGAGCUCGUAGGCGGUUGGGUAAGUCGGGUGUGAAGACUCCAGGCUCAACUUGGAGACGCCACCCGAUACUGCUCUGACUUGAGUUCGGUAGGGGAGUGGGGAAUUCCUGGUGUAGCGGUGAAAUGCGCAGAUAUCAGGAGGAACACCGGUGGCGAAGGCGCCACUCUGGGCCGAAACUGACGCUGAGGAGCGAAAGCGUGGGUAGCAAACAGG
rnacentral:rRNA from 1 species